AUAUUAAAUUAACAUGAGUUUAUGUUUAGAUUUCUAUGAUUUUUAUCAAUAUCCCAUAUAACAGGCAUAUGGUAUUUGUGGGGUUUCAAAUCUCUCUCUCUCUCUCUCUCUCUCUCUCUCUCUCUCUCUCUCUCUCUCUCUCUCUCUCUCUCUCUCUCUUUCUCUCUCCGUCUGUCUGUGUUCUUGUUUGGAAGAACUAUUUGGAAGAAAUUCAAGAUUUCAAGGACGCACGGAUUUGAAUUUAACUGGAGAGGCUGAGAGCUGAGGGGAAGAGUGACAUAAAGAGGAGAGAAGUUCAUUAUCCAGCUGAAAAGGAAACCAAUGGCUUUCACAGUCUCCAUGGGAACCAGCCUUUCUUUUGCUGUCAAACCUAUGAUAAGAAACCCUCUCCUUUCUCCCACUCCAAGGCAGCCCUUUUCAAACCGGGAAGCUCCAGGUCAGUUUCCCUUUCCAAGUUUUACGGCCUGCCAUGUUGUCCAUUCUGCUCAGCUAUUUAAAAAAUGUUGAAUAUCAACAAUGGCUUUCACUGGUGUAUUGUCAACUUUUGUAUGAAGCAAUCUUGGCUGAAUGAGAUGGGUCCCAGAGCAGGGAGGGCUUGGCUGCGGCAUGCACCGCAACACCACUGGCGCCUGCCUGGCUCUCUCUCUCUCUCUCUCUCUCUCUCUCUCUGCUGCAGGCAGGAUCAGGGAGGCAGGAGCAGCCGUCCCUCUAGUCCCUGUCUCAGCCCAGCCGCUGGGGUCUGGAUGGGGCUGGGAAAGCCACCCCCUCGUCAGUCCUCUCUGCAAACUCAUCCUCAUCUCAGGUUCCCCUCCCCCUGCCUCUGGCCCUGUCGUCUGGGAGCCCCUGAAGGUGUGACACCUCACACAGGAAUCGGAGAGCAGGAGCCCGGGGGCCAGUCAGAGCUGGUGUUUUUCAGAAGUGUGGUGAGAGAGAGGAGCGUCAGAAACAUGAAACCUAAGAUAGCAGAGUGGAAGAAGAGAACAAGUCGUUAGCACUUUGAAACCAGACACCGGGAGGUAUCAGAUCCAUUGGGUGGCUAAGGAUCAUGGGUAUAGUGUGUGUGUGUGUGUCAGCGUGUGUGCCUUCAUGCAUGUCGUGUGUGUGUGAAUGAGUGUGUGUGUGAAUGCGUGUGUGUGUGUGUGUGUGUGUGUAUGGGGAGGUGGAUGCUGACAGGGUCUCUCUCUCUCUUUCUCUCUCUCUCUGGUUGACUGGGUCACUCGGGGGCCCCGGACCCCACACAAUGCCCUGGCAGCAGUGUGGGCUUUACUGGGCCUCUACAGAGCAGCGCCGAGCUGCUAGCUUUACGAGAGACAGACGGAUGGAUCCCUUCACCUUGCACCAUAAAGCCACCAGUCACCAGAUAAAAGAGGGCAGAUGCGAGGGGAAGCAUUGAGAGCUCACCUGCACCCAGCAGGGAACAGCCUCUAUCCAGCCAACCCAAGAGGGCCUCUACAUUCAGCCUCCUCUCACUAACACCACUAAUAGGGAACAGGGGCACUGUCAAAUAAGAGGAGAAUCCUUCCUUGUUUUGGAUGGCCUGGGAUCCUUAUUAGCUGUUAGUGCUAGAACACAGCUAUACUGGUGAAGAGUUCAGUGCAGUUAACACGGAUGUUGACAGUGCAGGGCAGAGCAGGCUGCAACAGGUUGCUGCUAAAAGCUGUAAUUACAGUAUGAUCUGGAGACUCUAGUUACUGGGAGAUUGAGAGUGGUGGGAUCCUUGUGAAAAGUGCCAAUUCUGAAUGUAUUUUUAAGAGGCACUUGUUGGAGGGAGAACAUGGUUAGGUAACAGGUUGAUCAGGAGUCUGACAGGGAAUGGGACAUACAGACAGACUAACUGACAGAGGGUCAGGAUUGGAGACAGGAGGCAGGCAAGGUGGCAGAUGGGCUAAGCGACAGACAGAGACAGGUAGGCAUGGACUCAUGGAGCCAGGCAGUCAGGGAGGCAAGCUGUCAGCGAGGGCAGACCCACCCUGGGUAGCUUCUGCCUUCCCUGUUGGAGUGACAGAUGUGUGGUGAAUCUUUAGCUCUCCUCACAGCUCCUCACUCCCCAGUGUCACCGCAUCUGUCCCCUCCUCAGUCCCCCUUGGCUCAGCCCCCUCCUGUGUAAAUGCAGGACAACAAAAAUGAGUUCAGUGGACUUAUUGAUUAGUCCAGCCUGCACUGGCUAGCUUCAUUUAUUGACCUCUGGGACUCAUUAUUGACAAGGCUUUGUCUUUGUGAUUUGUUCAAAAUUUCACUGGGCACAUGGGAACCUUGUGUCUCACACAGUAGGAUAAUUUAAACAGAACAUCUGUAGCCUAGCGGAUCAAUGCAAAAAUGUGCAUGUUGAUCUACAGUGCAGAACUAUGAGCAUAUUUGAAUAUGUUGACAUGGAUCAAGCAGAUAAACAAACAUUUGGACAAUGAUAAGUGGGUCAUGUUUGUGGGACAACAACAACAGAAAAGAAGAGGUCAGCGUAUGCUCUCAACCGAACACAACGUCCUGUCUCAUUGUCUGCCUUAAACCCCACUGUAAAAAACAUAUACUGCCUCGGCCAUAGUAGAUAGUAAGUAGCAUUUUAUCCUCAUCAGUCUAAUUUCUCAGACGCCUCAAUGUUAAAGGGUCUGGACUCGCCGUCCCCCAGCCCCUGUCCCUCUCUCCCGCUCAGCCUGGCCCUGGCGAGAGAUGGUUUAUUUAAAUUGAAAAUUAGCAAAACAAAACAAGGGCAAGAGGAUCCCUGAAUGGGGCCCCUUUCUCUGGGAGCUCCUGUGCCGUUGAAUAAUGCAUAUGGGAGAAAGUAAACAGCAGCCUCGGGCUCCGUCCAAGGAACAAUGGGCCGCACACAGUCCAACCACGGCGCCUGAUUUUAUUACGGGCCCUGUCAGUCCCCUCCUCCCUCCAUCCAUCCCUCCCUCCAGUACCUCCUCUAGCCUGGGAAUCGUGGAACGCAGGCCAGGCAGCAGCUGCUGACCGCUCCGCACUGACCCAACACACUCCGCGACCUGCAGGAUAACUCCACACACACACUCCCUCCCAGCCAGCACACACCACCACUGCAUACCUCGACUGUCACAGCCUGCAUGCCUGCCUACCACCACUACAGUGCAUACAUAUACUCAGUCACACCAGGCAGCAACUGGUUGGCCACAUCCAGAUGGUGUCUUGUGAGGAAAUGUUUGAAUUAGAUGAAUGUUUGAAACAUAUGGAAUUUAUGAAUGACUGACUCAUUUAGCCUGAGGAAAAUAUCAGACUUCACCAACUCCAACCCCUAUUUCUGAGAUCUUGGCUUGGACAGUGCCGGGUCACUUUGGCCACUUGUGAACUUUUCUCUCCACUAGAACAUUCUGUCUGUGUGUGUUCUCUCUCUCUCCGAUCAGGCUGGCAUUGAGAUUCCGGUCUUGCUUCUGGCUUCAGCCUGGGCCGGUUGCCAUGCCGACAGGCAAAUUGGCUAGCAGGAUGAGUAGUGAUGUGAUGUGGCUGUGGCUUUAAAGUCCCAACAAAGACUGUAUUACAACCCAAUCUUUGCAUAACACACUAUUGUUGUCAUGUGCUACUGAUAUUAAUCCUCUUCCUGCUGCAGGAGACGUGUGUGUCUCUCUGUGGAAGGGUUUUGUGUGUAUGUACGUGAACGUGUGUGUAUGGCUGGACACCAGAAGUCACACUAAAGAUUAUCUACAGUCACAACGACUGAAGAUACAUACUGAAUAAAAUAAAGGAUUUUGCAAUGAUUUUGAUAGUGAAGUUAAUGUUUUAGUCAGUUUGUUGACAUUGCUCGCUCUCUCUCUCUCUCUCUCCUCAACAAUGUUCAUCAACAAUGUUCAUGAAACCUCCAUACUCCCCACCUCACCUAAGCAAACAUCCCUGGGCCCUAGGCCUGAGACGAGUCUAUAGCAGCCUGGCCUUAUAGACUCGUCCCUGAGUGUGAAGGGACAUAAAGAGAGGUGGAGGGGGGUCCCAGUAGCAGGAGCGCAUGACACCGGGCGGCUGCAGGAUGU
rnacentral:lncRNA from 1 species